rnacentral:rRNA from 1 species
UACGGAGGGGACUAGCGUUGUUCGGAAUUACUGGGCGUAAAGCGCACGUAGGCGGCCUUGUAAGUUAGAGGUGAAAGCCCAGGGCUCAAUCCUGGAAUUGCCUUUAAGACUGCAUCGCUUGAACACGGGAGAGGUGAGUGGAAUUCCGAGUGUAGAGGUGAAAUUCGUAGAUAUUCGGAAGAACACCAGUGGCGAAGGCGGCUCACUGGACCGUUGUUGACGCUGAGGUGCGAAAGCGUGGGGAGCAAACAGG